rnacentral:rRNA from 1 species
ACUGCUCAGUAACACGUGGACAACCUGCCCUUAGGUUGGGUAUAAACCCGGGAAACUGGGUAUAAUACCCGAUAGGUCUCGAUUGCUGGAAUGCAUCGAGAUUUAAAGCUCCGGCGCCUAAGGAUGGGUCUGCGGCCUAUCAGGUAGUAGUGGGUGUAGCGUACCUACCAGCCUACGACGGGUACGGGUUGUGAGAGCAAGAGCCCGGAGAUGGAUUCUGAGACACGAAUCCAGGCCCUACGGGGUGCAGCAGGCGCGAAAACUUUACAAUGCUGGCAACAGCGAUAAGGGAACCUCGAGUGCCAGGUUACAAAUCUGGCUGUCGAGAGGCCUAAAAAGCAUUUCAUAGCAAGGGCCGGGCAAGACCGGUGCCAGCCGCCGCGGUAACACCGGCGGCUCGAGUGGUAACCGUUAUUAUUGGGUCUAAAGGGUCUGUAGCCGGCCGAAUAAGUCUCUUGAGAAAUCUGGCAGCUUAACUGUCAGGCUUUCAGGAGAUACUGUCUGGCUCGAGGCCGGGAGAGGUGAGAGGUACUUCAGGGGUAGGGGUGAAAUCUUGUAAUCCUUGAAGGACCACCAGUGGCGAAGGCGUCUCACCAGAACGGACCUGACGGCAAGGGACGAAAGCUAGGGGCACGAACCGGAUUAGAUACCCGGGUAGUCCUAGCCGUAAACGAUACUCGCUAGGUGUCGGCCACGGUGCGACCGUUGUCGGUGCCGUAGGGAAGCCGUGAAGCGAGCCACCUGGGAAGUACGGCCGCAAGGCUGAAACUUAAAGGAAUUGGCGGGGGAGCAC